rnacentral:misc_RNA from 1 species
GAUGAAGAACGUAGCGAAAUGCGAUAAGUAAUGUGAAUUGCAGAAUUCAGUGAAUCAUCGAAUCUUUGAACGCACAUUGCGCCCGCUGGUAUUCCGGCGGGCAUGCCUGUUCGAGCGUCAUUUCAACCCUCAAGCUCUCCGGAGUUUGGUGUUGGGGCGCCUGAGGCUUUUCGACCUCAGGGCCCUCAAGUCCAUCGGCGGGACCGCCAGGACACUGAGCGCAGUAGUAUUAUUUCGCUCGGUAGGAUCUUCCACGGCGGGUCGAUCUGGCCGCUAAACCCCCCAAUUCUCACCAAAGGUUGACCUCGGAUCAGGUAGGAAUACCCGCUGAACUUAAGCAUAUCAAUAAGCGGAGGA